GGAAGAAGGUGUUGGAAAAGGGGAGCUGAUGGUGGGGGAGUUUUACUUUGGAAAGUCUGCAUUUGGGGCUGCAGAAAUUAUGGAAAAGCUGGUGCAGGUUUUAACUCCUGUGUCCAGUUCCGGGUUCCUCACCUUCCAGAAGGACAUGGAAAGGGGCUGGAGAAGGUCCAGGGAAGGGGCUGGAGGAGCAGAAGCAGCUGAGGGAGCUGGGAAGGGGCUGGAGAAUUGCUGAGGGAGCUGGGAAGGGGCUGGAGAAUUGCUGAGGGAGCUGGGAAGGGGCUGGAGCCUGGAGCAAAGGAGGCUCAGGGGGCCCUUGUGGCUCUGCACAAGUCCCUGGCAGGAGGGGACAGCCGGGGGGGUCGGGCUCUGCUGCCAGGGAACAGGGACAGGAGGAGAGGGAACGGCCUCAGGCUGGGCCAGGGGAGGCUCAGGGGGGACAGCAGCAGGAAUUUCCCCAUGGAAAGGGCGCUCAGGCCUUGGAAGUGCCCAGGGAGGUUUGCAGUGCCCAUCCCUGGAGGUGUCCCAGGAAUUGCUGGAGGUGGCACUCGGAGCUCUGGGCUGGUGACAGGGUGGUCAGCAGGCACAGCUGUGACUCUGAUCUUGGAGGGCUUUUCCAGCCUCAGUGUCACUGCUCCAAAGUCUCCUCAACUGAGGACAAUUUUUCAUUGACAUUUUCUCUUGGAUCAGCAAGAAUUUCCUUUUCACAGCUCAUGGAUCUGCCUUGGAAAUACCCAAAAUCAAAUCCUUUGGGAACAGCUCUCCAAAAUUCUCGUCACCUGGAGGAACUCACAUGUGACUGGACGGCCCCAUCCAGUGAGCUUUGGCUUUUCCCCCAAAGGGCACCAGUCAUUAACUGGGAACAAGGGUUUCCUCCUCCCCUCUGGAAAACUCAGGAGUUUUGUGGGACAGGAUUGAGGAACACGUCAGACAAAUUCAGAUGUGAUUCCGAAGGGACAUCCUGGAGAUUUCUGCAGGAUUUGGGAGUUGCUGGGCUCACUCCUGUGGUUUUACUCACUUUACAUUCCCUAGCUUUUUCACCUGCCCAUGAAAAUCUGGAAGAUUGGUUUCCCUAAAGCUGAUUUAUUUUUAAUCAAAUAUCCCACUCAAGCUUCUUUUCUGGACUCGGUGUUGUCCUGGCAGUUGCUUUGGUCACAGAGUUUUGUUUGGGUCAGAAACUCCGUCAAGGGAUGCCUGUGCCAAGGACUGGAGCUCUCCUGCUGGAACAAGUCCUGUGGGGAGGCUGAGGGAGCUGGGAAGGGGCUGGAGAAUUGCUGAGGGAGCUGGGAAGGGGCUGGAGAAUUGCUGAGGGAGAACUGGGAAGGGUCUGUAGAAUUGCUGAGGGAGCUGGGAAGGGGCUGGAGAAUUGCUGAGGGAGCUGGGAAGGGGCUGGAGAAUUGCUGAGGGAGCUGGGAAGGGGCUGAGCCUGGAGCAAAGGAGGCUCAGGGGCCCUUGUGGCUCUGCACAAGUCCCUGGCAGGAGGGGACAGCCGGGGGGGUCGGGCUCUGCUGCCAGGGAACAGGGACAGGAGGAGAGGGAACGGCCUCAGGCUGGGCCAGGGGAGGCUCAGGGGGGACAGCAGCAGGAAUUUCCCCAUGGAAAGGGCGCUCAGGCCUUGGAAGUGCCCAGGGAGGUUUGCAGUGCCCAUCCCUGGAGGUGUCCCAGGAAUUCCUGGAGGUGGCAUUCGAUCUGGGGACAGGGUGGGCACUGGGCACAGAUUGACCUUGAAGGUCAUCGGGAUGACCUUGAAGGGCUUUUCCAACCACAGAGAUCCUGGGAUUCUGUCUCCAAAUCCCAAAGCACCGCCCAGCGAACACAGAAAUAUUUGUAGGACUGGAUUUUCAGCUGAUAAAUGCAUUGGAAAGAACAACUGCUGGAACUGAUCCUGGCAGAAACUCGGUGGAAGUUUCAAGGAAUAAGCACAAUAUUAAUUCCACACUUUGCCUUCAGCACAAAGCUUGGGAUGAGAAGCUGUGAACAAGAAAAAGCAGCAGAGUCCUGACACUGUCUGAGUAACAAAGAAAUGCUAAAAAUAUUUCCAGACGUUGUUAUCAUCCCAGAUAUUAUUAAAGACUGCGAGGCCUAAAGGAAAUUACAACACCGUGGAGAUUAAAGGAGCUUUAUUCCAGCUGCCUGUGCUGUCUCACCCUCCACGCUCAUGGAAGUGUGGAAUGUUUAUUUGUGGGGCAUCAAAUAAACAAAGGAAGUGGUGAAACA
rnacentral:lncRNA from 1 species